UUCUGGAGUGACAGAGUUUGACACAGUUCGUGCAUGUAUAGAUCUAUAUAUGUGUAGUGGAGUGGAUAUCUUAUCAGGAAACACCGGCCACCCCGAUAUCCACGUGACCCUUCCCCCUAAAUGGCACCUUGUGUCCGCGCAUGACAAGGCAGACCAACAUGGUCACUGUUGAUUCGACCGGCAUCUCCCGUAUGUUACUGGACCUACGUCGUCUCCACUCCCUGUUUGUGUCUGGUUCUACACCAUGUGUUUAUGUAUGGCUGCAGAUUGUUGAACCAGUCAUUCAUUGACAGUUGUUUAUAGUAAACAAAGGAACAAAAUGAAGACACAAUGUCCAGAUGCAUGAAUUGGAGAUUUAGUAACAAAAGAAAAAGAACCUCAUAUGCUGAACAUAAAACUUAAUGGUUUUUAUAUGCUCUCAAAACAUCAAAUCUUGCGAAACCAGAGUCCUAUCAAUGGUCUUUUUCCUUCUAUUGGAUCUGACAAGAAUACAAAUAGAAUAGCUCAUGUUCAGGAUUCUAUUUACUGUGCAGUUGCUGUUUGGUCACUGGCUCAAGUUUAUAAAAAGAUUGAUGAUGACCAGGGCAGUAUCAUUAGUUGGGCCAAGCUGAUGAUAGGUAUGUUGCAAUGUUGGAUAUUCAAGUUGGCCUCCUUCAGUCUUAGAGCGACUAUGGUUCAUCUCAAACACUUUUCCAUGUGCAAUGUUGGAUAUGACAGGCAGAUAAAGUAGAAAAGUUCAAAUCCAAUUAAGUCCAGCAUAUGCCCUGCACUCUACAUUGGAUCUUGUCACUGGUUACCCAGCAUACAGAGGCAAAGUAUAAGAACAUUUGCAAAUAAUAAAUGAACACCUUUGAUUUGGAUUCCUCAACUCAAGGAAACAUACCAAUACUAGAACAGUCUUAAAAAAACAGCAGUGAGGCCAACAACUAGGGGAUUCAUUCAACAGAUGAAGUCAACUUCAUACAGAAUCUAGUUUUUUAUGUGGUGAGAGCUUAUAGAACACCUGACUCUGGGAUGUGGGAAAGAGGAAAUAUAACAAUGGAAGCACAGAGAUUCAUGCCAGUUGGCAUGGCUAGAGCAGCAGUAAGGCAGUCAAUGAAUGUAACUUAUUUGGUGAGCAUGGAGCCGCCUGGUCUGGGAUUUUUGUUAAUAUUGAUGCCCACCACAGGAACAGAACAAUAUUUGAAACUAUCUUACCCUGGGAAUCAAACUCUGAGAACACUGAUGCCUCUCUUCUAUUGAGUGUAAGUUGGCCUGCAUUAGUCAUAAAUGAAGAUGAGGUUAGAAUGAAAACAAUUGAGAAGGUCAUUCGCAAGUUAAAAGGCAACUUUGGUAUCAAACAUUUUCCUAAAGAAAGGUACAAAACAGCUAUAGAGGACAAAAAUAGAAAGUAUUACCGCUCUGCUGAAAUAAAGUUUUGAUGGGAUUGAAUUUGAGGGACCAAAGGUGUCAUUUUAAUUUAUUUACAUUUAUAAGCACAGUAAGACUUUUUGAUCUUUUGGCAUCAUUUUACAUAGCUCAGAAGACAGAAACUGCCACACAGUCUGCUCUGAACUCCCAAGAGUACUCCAAAUUACCAGGCCCCUUCAUAUGUUGACCUAACAAAGUCAAAAUUGCCAAGGAGAGUUGAGUAAAUAGAAGCGCAAAAGUUUCAUUUAUUAACUUUUAAAGCAAUAACACAGUUGAAUGUUCAAGUAUCCACCUGACUGAUGAAUGUUCAAGUAUCCACCAGACUGAUGAAUGUUCAAGUAUCCACCAGACAGAUGAAUGUUCAAGUAUCCACCAGAUAGAUGAAUGUUCAAGUAUCCACCAGACAGUUGAAUGUUCACGUAUCCACUAGACAGAUGAAUGUUCAAGUAUCCACCAGACAGUUGAAUGUGCAAGUAUCCACUAGACAGAUGAAUGUUCAAGUAUCCACCAUUUCAUUAAUUAUCAUAUUUCUCUUUUAGGAAAAUGUUUCUGUUUUCACUUUAUUUUAUUUUGUACCAGUCUAGUAUUUUGUACCAUUAAAAAUUUAUAUUUCAUGUUAGUAAAAAAGAUGUUUGAAAUUUUGUUUCAAAAUUUAUAAAAAAAAUCUAUAUAUAUAUAUUAAAAUAGUAAUUUACUCAACCUUGGAAUCCUAUCACUGAACUGGGAAAGCUAGCUUUGAUUGUUUUUGUUGUUGUAAAUAUAUAUGGCUCCUUUUGUCUCGAAAGGCAAUGGAUGCGCCCAAGUGAGUCACUGGUUUUGGCUUAAUCUUGAGACGGGGCAGAAUCUGGUGUGGCUAAUCAAGCCAAUUCUAGAACGGCAGACUUUGCCACAAUUCGUACAUUUGUAUGCCUCUGAUUUAGGGCUAGCAGACAGGGCAGCUUUCUUUUUUUCCCUCUUGAUUAAAGCCGCUUCAAUUCUUUUGUUCUCAGCAAGGGUUGUCCCAGCACGCACAGUCUGUCUCCAUGCACUCCGGUCUUUGGCUAUGUUUUCCCACAUACUUUCACUGAUGCCUGAGGCUCUCAUGUCUCGCUUGCAGACAUCUCUAUAUGUUAGUCUUGGGCGGCCCUUGGGUCUGACUCCUUCCACAAGUAAAUAUCCAUAUGGAUAGUGUGUAUAUUAUGCAAAGGUUGAUUAUUUAUUAGCUGUUAAGGUUGGAGUUUUCCUUUUUUUUUAUUUUUACAUGAUUUCAAUGUUAAAUACCACUGUAGUUGUCUUUCUGAUAAUGAUGCUAUGAUGUGGUCUUGGUAUAUUUUUUCUGUGAUUAGAUGUUGUAACAUAUAGAUAUUGACAAUGUAAAAAAGUUUAUAUACAACCAAGUUCAUACAUUAAUCUAUUUCACAAUCAUACAAACUAUAAACUGCGUAAAGCUUUUUGUUAUUAUUAAAAAUAUAAACUGUAAAGUAUUGGAUACUAAAAUGCAUUUUAAUUGAUUCUUCCCGAGCUAUAGUUUAUUGCAUCUUCAUUUUGUGUGUGCACAAUCUAUUGAAUUAAUAAUGUAAUUUUUUGUGAGAUGAUUUGUGUUGGUCACAUGUAUAUGUCAUUAGUUUCUAUCAUGAUUUUUUUAAAAGUAUUUGUGUAAAACCAGAGAGGUUUCAUUAAAUUUGUACUUUAUUAAUUUUUUAUUUUACAUUUUUGUUUAGUUUUAAUUUUACUUACAAGCUGAAUUUGUAUACAUAGCUAUGAUUUGAUGGAAUUCUUCUUUUUAUAAAAUUUUACAUGGUCUAAGGUUUUUGAGUUCAUUGAAGCUUUUUUUCAAAACUCUGAAGAGUUGAACUGAAGGCUUGUAAAACUAUAGGCCAGCAAAAAAUAAAAGCUUCCUCUCACCAGCCUGACUGAAAUGAUUGUUCUGUCUGGAAGAGAUCCUAAUUGAUGUCUGUAUCACACUACUAUUUCCAAUGCUUCAGAAGCUCCAGACACGGGGGCUAGAGAUUGGCAGACUGCUAAGCACACCAAGAACUCCUGCCAUCUUCCUGCUCUUUACCACACUCAACAAUCCCCAUUCCAUUUGUGAAACAGAAUGUUGGGAUUGUUGACAUGGUCAUAAAGACUCUCUUCCCAACCAAGACUUGAGCAAUGCUUUUCCAUUCCUAAUGAAGUCUUGUUUUCUUACUUCCUUGAAGCCUAAUUGUUUUGACCCAGGGGUGGGGGGGCACUAUGUUGUAGACUGGGAUGUUUGCUUUCUGACAGCAUUGUAGAAUAAUUAUAUUGUAAUAAAAUAUUUUUCAAAUAAAAAAAUUAAAUGAAACAAAACCUACAUCUUGGCUAUUAAAAUCCAGGUUAAUACUGCUAUUUGUUAUAUAAUGUAUGUGUCACUGUCAUGAGAUGUAUACAUUGGAUGCUUACAUAAACAUUGGUUUUGUGAAACAUCAGUCAAUUGUAUUUAUGACCCUACUCUAAAUGGCCUAGAAUGUUGAACAUAAGAGUACCAGUUCAAUGUUAGAGAAAAUAAUAGUAAGUAGGGGAGACAAUAAAAGAGUUUUAAUAUGUUC